UAAGUCACUUUGUCUUAAUGGCAAAUGUGAGAUGCAGUGUAUGGAAUAUCUUAAUAUCUAGUAUGAGAAAUUAACGAUUUAAGUCCUUCUUAAAAGAGGCCAUUUACCCAUAGAGGGUGCCAGGCCCGUAUAACGUUAAUGAUUACUAGAAAGAUAUUUCCAAAGAGUCGUGUUGCUUGAUAGUGCAGCACUAAGUGGGUGGUAAACUCCAUCUAAAACUAAAUAUAACCAUGAGACCGAUAGUAAACAAGUACCGUGAGGGAAAGUUGAAAAGAACUCUGAAUAGAGAGUUAAAUAGUACGUGAAACUGCUUAGAGGUUAAGCCCGAUGAACCUGAAUAUCCAUUAUGAAAAAUUCAUCAUUAUAUAUGUAAUAUUAAUUGAUUAAUAUUAUAAUAAUAGUGUGCAUUUUUUUCAUAUAAGGACAUUGUAAUCUAUUAACAUAAAAAGUAUUUAUCAAAAGAUCAUUGGCUUUAAGUUUAUUUUAAUUAAUUUGCUUUAUUGCUUUUUAACAUUAAAUAAAUGCCUAAUGAUUUGAUAAAGUGUUGAUAGAUUUAUUAUAUAUAAUGCUUAAAUUCAUUUUGAAUUUUACAAUAAUGUUAUAAACAUUGAUUUAAAAAUUAAUGUACGUNNNNNNNNNNNNNNNNNNNNNNNNNNNNNNNNNNNNNNNNNNNNNNNNNNNCUUGAAACACGGACCAAGGAGUCUAACAUAUGUGCAAGUCAUUGGGUUAUAUAUAUAAACCUAAUGGAGUAAUUAACUUAACUAAUUUAAUGGGAUUAAUUUUUAGUCUAUUUAUAAUAGUCUAUUAAUUCAAUCCCGGGGCGUUCUAUAUAGUUAUGUAUAAUAAUAAUUUAUUAUUAUUUAUACCUCUAACUGGAGCGUACCUUGAGCAUAUAUGCUGUGACCCGAAAGAUGGUGAACUAUACUUGAUCAGGUUGAAGUCAGGGGAAACCCUGAUGGAAGACCGAAACAGUUCUGACGUGCAAAUCGAUUGUCAGAAUUGAGUAUAGGGGCGAAAGACCAAUCGAACCAUCUAGUAGCUGGUUCCCUCCGAAGUUUCCCUCAGGAUAGCUGGUGCAUUUAUAUAUUAUGUAAAAUAAUCUUAUCUGGUAAAGCGAAUGAUUAGAGGCCUUAGGGUCGAAACGACCUUAACCUAUUCUCAAACUUUAAAUGGGUAAGAACCUCACCUUUCUUGAUAUGAAGGUUGAGGUUAUGAUAUAAUGUGCCCAGUGGGCCACUUUUGGUAAGCAGAACUGGCGCUGUGGGAUGAACCAAACGUAAUGUUACGGUGCCUAAAUUAACAACUCAUGCAGAUACCAUGAAAGGCGUUGGUUGCUUAAAACAGCAGGACGGUGGACAUGGAAGUCGUAAUCCGCUAAGGAGUGUGUAACAACUCACCUGCCGAAGCAACUAGCCCUUAAAAUGGAUGGCGCUUAAGUUGUAUACCUAUACAUUACCGCUAAAGUAGAUGAUUUAUAAUACAAUUUCGAUUGAAUUAUAAAUUUUGAAACUUUAGUGAGUAGGAGGGUACAAUGGUGUGCUUAGAAGUGUUGGGCGUAAGCCUGCAUGGAGCCGCUAUUGGAACACAUCUUGGUGGUAGUAGCAAAUAAUCGAAUGAGACCUUGGAGGACUGAAGUGGAGAAGGGUUUCGUGUGAACAGUGGUUGAUCACGAGUUAGUCGGUCCUAAGUUCAAGGCGAAAGCCGAAAAUUUUCAAGUUUUAAUGCAAAGAAAUAACCAAACAAUUAAAAAAAAAAAAAGAAAAAAGUAAACUUAAAGAAAAUGAAAAGAACAAUUUUAAAACUUUAUUAAUAAAAAAAUAAUUAAUUACUACUAUGUUUUUUCAUUUUUUGUUUAACUUUUUUUCUUUUUUUUUAAAUUGAAAUUUUUGAAUUUUUAAACACUUGAAUAAUUUUGAACGAAAGGGAAUACGGUUCCAAUUCCGUAACCUGUUGAGUAUCCGUUUGUUAUUAAAAAUGGGCCUUGUGCUCAUCCUGGCAACAGGAACGACCAUAAAGAAGCCGUCGAGAGAUAUCGGAAGAGUUUUCUUUUCUGUUUUAUAGUCGUACUACCAUGGAAGUCUUUCGAAGAGAGAUAUGGUAGAUGGACUAGAAGAGCAUGACAUUUACUGUUGUGUCGAUAUUUUCUCCUCGGACCUUGAAAAUUUAUGGUGGGGUCACGCAAACUUCUCAACAGGCCGUACCGAUAUCCGCAGCUGGUCUCCAAGGUGAAGAGUCUCUAGUCGAUAGAAUAAUGUAGGUAAGGGAAGUCGGCAAAUUAGAUCCGUAACUUCGGGAUAAGGAUUGGCUCUGAAGAUUGAGAUAGUCGGGCUUGAUUGGGAAGCAAUACCAUGGUUUAUGUACUCGUUCUGGGUAAAUAGAAAAUUUCGAUUUUUGUUCCCCGGAUAGUAGUUACGUAGCCAAUUGUGGAACUUUCUUGCUAAAAUUUUUAAAGUUAUAUACAUUUAAUAAAAUGUAUAUUCUUUUUAAAUUAUAACGAUU
rnacentral:rRNA from 1 species